CAGAGUGAGUUGCAGUUGUAGUUUGAGAUGUGAAGUGGAAGUGGAUGAAAGAGUGCCGUGGUUUUUUGAGGGUGGAAUCGAUUGAGUGUGGAGUUGGUAAUGGAUUUCGAUUGGUGGUAUGGGGCGGUGCUAGGCUGCUGUCCGAGGUCUUGUUUGGUUCGGCAUGGAAAUAUCAUGGUUGUGGUGUAGUGGGGAUUUGGUGGUUUGUGAAGGGCAUUUUGGUCUUUUCACAUCUCCUCCUAAUAUCCCC
rnacentral:lncRNA from 1 species